rnacentral:lncRNA from 1 species
CUGUGUUAUUUGUUGGGUCAAAAGAUACUACAUAUUUUUGAGAAGAUAAUUUAUUUUUUUUAAUUUUUAGAGUUAAAUUUAUAACAUAACAAAAGAUUACUAAUUUCUUCCACCACCUAGAGCUUCAAGUCACUAAUUAACUAAUCUAUUAAAUGUAUGUUUUCCACACUUAAGGAACCAAAGAAACCUGCGGGCUCUGUCUACUCACCCAGGGAUCGCUUUCCUGGUGGUGAAAUGAACCCAGCUUCUUAGUGGAAUGGAGCAAUCACUGGAUGCCAGUAACACUACCCUACAAUGUGUAGAGGGGGAAAUGAAGGCUAGCUCAUCCGAAGGAAACUACAGGGGAAUUUUAGAUCAGCAGAAUGCAAUUAUCCAAGUUGGAACUGUUCCAGGACACCAAAAGCGAACUUUAAAGGUUUUAAUAGCCACAAAUGUCUCUUAGCAUUUCCCUCCCUUAGGAAGACAAUAUCAGACUGCUGGCAUUGAUUUCUUAAAAUUAUACUGGCAAAAAGAUAAACAAAGCUCAAGAUAUAGAAAUACAUUUUACACUGGAAAAAAAAAGGAAAAAAAAAAAGAAACACACUGAAACCAAAUCUUCAUAUUUCUUGGCUCCCAGUAGCAGGCUGACUAGUUCCCCAAAAUGAGCUUACUGCAAAAUCACUCUGUUCUCACCACAGGCACAAUUUACCAACUGGGUGCACCAGACACCGGGCUGGCUCCUGCACGCCUCUCCUCCAGUUAAGCAGCGCAACCUGCCACCAUUUUGCCAGUGGACUCUAUUUACUUAGGUUCCGCAUUACCUGCCAAGCGCUCACUCUGUGGAAUUCCCAGCAAAGAGAAAGGAACAACUGGGGGAAAUUUUUGUUAACACCCUUUCUUUUAACUUUCCAUAGCAGAGGGGAAUGCAUCAAUGUGGAGCAGAUGUGCUGAGACCAAAUGCUCUCUUCCUCAUGAUUACAGUUGGUUAUACCUGUGGAUAGGCGAGCUAAUUCCGCUGCAAAUGUGCAAGAGAGGGUAGUACUAACGUACAAUGUGUGGUCCUGGAGGCUUUGUUCCCAUGUAAUAGGGGGCUUCGUUUCAUGAGACCUGGCACAUUGAGAAGAAAACUGAAGCAAAACAGCC